rnacentral:rRNA from 1 species
GACGAACGCUGGCGGCGUGCUUAACACAUGCAAGUCGAACGGUAAGGCCCUUCGGGGUACACGAGUGGCGAACGGGUGAGUAACACGUGGGUGAUCUGCCCUGCACUUCGGGAUAAGCCUGGGAAACUGGGUCUAAUACCGGAUAGGACCACUGCCUGCAUGGGUGGUGGUGGAAAGCUUUUGCGGUGUGGGAUGGGCCCGCGGCCUAUCAGCUUGUUGGUGGGGAGAUGGCCUACCAAGGCGACGACGGGUAGCCGGCCUGAGAGGGUGAUCGGCCGCACUGGGACUGAGAUACGGCCCAGACUCCUACGGGAGGCAGCAGUGGGGAAUAUUGCACAAUGGGCGCAAGCCUGAUGCAGCGACGCCGCGUGAGGGAUGACGGCCUUCGGGUUGUAAACCUCUUUCAGCACCGACGAAGCGCAAGUGACGGUAGGUGCAGAAGAAGGACCGGCCAACUACGUGCCAGCCGCCGCCGUAA